rnacentral:rRNA from 1 species
AUUGAACGCUGGCGGCAGGCUUAACACAUGCAAGUCGAGCGGAGAGAGGUAGCUUGCUACUGAUCUUAGCGGCGGACGGGUGAGUAAUGCUUAGGAAUCUGCCUAUUAGUGGGGGACAACAUUUCGAAAGGAAUGCUAAUACCGCAUACGUCCUACGGGAGAAAGCAGGGGAUCUUCGGACCUUGCGCUAAUAGAUGAGCCUAAGUCGGAUUAGCUAGUUGGUGGGGUAAAGGCCUACCAAGGGGACGAUCUGGAGCGGGUCUGAGAGGAUGAUCCGCCACACGGGGACUGAGACACGGCCCAGACGCCUACGGGAGGCAGCAGUGGGGAAUAUUGGACAAUGGGCGAAAGCCUGAUCCAGCCAUGCCGCGUGUGUGAAGAAGGCCUUAUGGUUGUAAAGCACUUUAAGCGAGGAGGAGGCUACUUUAGAUAAUACCUAGAGAUAGUGGACGUUACUCGCAGAAUGAGCACCGGCUAACUCUGUGCCAGCCGCCGCGGUAAUAC